GGGAAAUGCUAGUGGCAGGAAUGAAAAUCACCAAACCAGCAUGGCAUGCAGCAGCGGGAAGUGCCUAAAUAUAUCACAUUCUGAAGCAUACAAAUGUGGAUGUUCUUCAUCUUAUUUGGUGCCAGUCUUGUUGUUUUUCAGAGUCAUGGUUGUAGCUGUAAAUAUACCAAAGAUGGAUGUUUCUUGACAGCACCCGCUGCAAAUAAGACAGCCUGUGGCUGUCUGAAGCUGAGCCAUUCCACGUGUGCAGGGAUACCAGUACCUUGUCUGCAACCGGAUUCUCCACUUUGCAUUCAUCCAGAUAAAUCUCUGGGAAGUUGUCUUCAAGGUGGUGGGAAUUGUGAUGGUUAUCAUGUGCAGUGCAAAUGUAAAUCUUAUUUCAUUGGUUGCAAAUUAUCAGUUUCUCCGCCAUCAAACACCGCCUGCUCUUGCUCAUUUUACCUGUUUGCGUGUGGCGGUGACAUUGUACUUUGUAAAGAUCCAAAUUCUGUCUACUGUAAAAAACCACGACUAAACAAAGCCACCUGUAAACAGGGCAGAGGAAACUGUAAAGCGUAUUCUGAUUAAUAGCCUACACUGUGCGCCCGCUUACCCAAGUCCAUCUUAAAGUGCCAUCAUCUGAGCAUGUAUUGUCCAUCCCUUAUUCCCCCCGUCUUGAUUGGAAUUAGAAAAUAUGCUACUUGGUUGCUCAUUUUGUGCUAUUGAUUUUGAAUGUUUUACCCAAUCAAUGAAGGGUUCAAAGCUAUGUACACCAUUGCAAUUUUUUUAUUGUUUAUCUGCUUCCUAUGUGCAAAAUCAGGC